UACGAAGGGGGCUAGCGUUGUUCGGAAUUCCUGGGCGUAAAGGGCGCGUAGGCUGCGUGUCAAGUCAGGCGUGAAAGCCCCGGGCUCAACCUGGGAACCGCGCUUGAGACUGGCAUGCUCGAGUUCGGGAGAGGAUGGUGGAAUUCCCAGUGUAGAGGUGAAAUUCGUAGAUAUUGGGAAGAACACCGAUGGCGAAGGCGGCCAUCUGGACCGACACUGACGCUGAGGCGCGAAAGCGUGGGGAGCAAACAGG
rnacentral:rRNA from 1 species